ACUAUUAUUUAAUAGUCAAAACAACCCACUCUCCUGCAGUCUAAUGCUUUUAUUUGUCAAAGCACCGUUGUUUGUAUUUUUAUGAGUUUGGUUUCUAAGCUUUUUGAAAGCACAUAUUCUAGGGCUUUGUAAACAGUCACAUUUUCAGAAAGCAUAUUCUUUUUUACUUUUGGGCUAUAUAUCCAAACACAUAAAAUUAUUAUUUAUUUCUGUGGUAAGAACACCUUAAUGUUUAACCAAGGGACUCUUAAACAGUGUAACCAGUGAAAAAUCCUGGAUUUGUUUUAAUAAAUUGACUUUUACGAAACCUAGUUUUCCUUGAGUCCUUGGCAUGACAACAUUCCUUUAGAAUUACUUAGCCCAGCUGUGCAGUGGGUGAAGCAAAGGGCAGAGUUACCUAAUAGGAAAAAUCCAUUGUACAUACGCUAAGGUGUUAGCCCUCUUGAAUUCCCUACUUCAUGAAAUUCAAGAAAAUGAAAAGAACUUGUCCAAAGGAAAAAAAAACUUGACUUACACUUAAGCUCAAGCUGCUUUUCGAAGCCUAAAUGGGAGGCAUCGGGAUCCAUUAGAGAGUUCUAGAUGAAAUGCCAGAAGCCCUGGGUUCUAAUCUUGGCUGUUUGUCUUUAGCCAAGUCAUUUGACCUUACUGGACCCCAGAUUCCCGUCUAUAAAAUGAAGAGUGUAAUAUUUGUCUUUUCUACUCUACAAAGUUAUUGUGAGGAUAAAAUAGGAAAACAGAUGUGAAGCUUCCCCCAGAGAAAUAUAUAAAACAGUACAGAUAUUAAUACCGAUUCUCUUUGGCCCUUAUACUGGUCAAACUUGUUCAAACCCCACCUUAUUCUCCUGAAAUAGAAGAGGUUCUUUCGCUAAGAUUAGAAACUCUCCAAGUUAAUGAUUCAUUCUUAGGUAUUAUACAUAAGAUGUAACACAAGUUUUGGAACAGUAGAAAUAAAACAAAACACCAGUUAUUAUAUCAAAAUUUCAGGAGAAAUUUCUCUCUCUCUCUUCCUCACUAGGAAGUCUACUCAUUGUUUUCAAUCCUCAUACAAAUAUAUACACUUGAAUAUUUUCUUGUACACAUGCCUAGCCCAACACCAGCAUGCCCACAUCUCCCCACCCCACAUUCACAUUCUUCUUUUCCAAAAGCCCAAAUUUAUCUCGCUCUCCUUUGCUUUAAUUUGUUAUCUUCCACCAGUUACUCUAAGUUCCUCCAUUUAUCCCAAGCCUUAACCAAAAUUCUUUGACACCACAGGGCUCAUACAUUUAAAAAGCUGUUUCUGGUUUUGAUUUUCUGUUGUUGUUGUUGACCUCAAAAAGAAAAAACACCCACAAAAUGUGCUCCCAUCAAUUGGUGUGUAUGUUAUUUUGAGGAAUCAUAGUUUUAUUUAUUUAUUUAUUUAUUUAUUUAUUUAUUUAUUUACUUACUUAUUUUUGAGACGAGAGUCUUGCUCUGUCACCCAGUGGCACUAUCUUCGCUCACUGCAAGCUCCGCCUCCCGGGUUCACGCCAUUCUCCUGCCUCAUCCUCCCGAGUAGCUGGGACUACAGGCACCCGCCACCACGCCCGGCUAAUUUUUUCUAUUUUUUGGUAGAGACGGGGUUUCACCGUGUUAGCCAGGAUGGUCGCGAUCUCCUGACCUCGUGAUCCGCCCACCUCGGCCUCCCAAAGUGCUGGGAUUACAGGAGUGAGCCACUGCACCCGGCCUCAUAGUUUUAAAAUUGAACAAAAAAAGACACUUUAAAGAUUGUAAGGGUCUGAUUGCCUCAACACCAUAACUUAAUUAAAAAUAUUACUGUUGAAUCUUAUUUGGUUAAUUUGUCUGAGACAACUGGACCUGUUGUUUACAUGAACUGUCAGGAAGUAUUAAAUCAGCCAACUAGUUGCUGCCUAAGACAGCUAUGGGAAGCCUGGUUUGCAUCAAAAGGUCAACAGGAAGAAACUUAUGGAGAAUAACAUGUUAUCUGAAGAAGAGAGUGGUAUCAUUUGCUGCUCUGUGGCUAUUCUCUAUGCCACAAACAAAUGAAAUAUCUAAGAAUAC
rnacentral:lncRNA from 10 species